rnacentral:rRNA from 1 species
AGGGAAUAUUGGGCAAUGGACGCAAGUCUGACCCAGCCAUGCCGCGUGAAGGAUGAAGGCCCUACGGGUUGUAAACUUCUUUUAUACGGAAAAAAACUUCCUGACGUGUCAGGAAUUGAUGGUACCGUAAGAAUAAGCAUCGGCUAACUCCGUGCCAGCAGCCGCGGUAAUACGGAGGAUGCAAGCGUUAUCCGGAUUUAUUGGGUUUAAAGGGUGCGUAGGCGGAAUGGUAAGUCAGUGGUGAAAUCCUACGGCUUAACUGUAGAACUGCCAUUGAUACUGCCAAUCUUGAGUACACUUGAAGUGGGCGGAAUGUGUCAUGUAGCGGUGAAAUGCUUAGAGAUGACACAGAACACCGAUAGCGAAGGCAGCUCACUAAAUUGUAACUGACGCUGAGGCACGAAAGCGUGGGGAUCAAAC